CGGGGCUGCGCUCCCAGCUGCAGACGGUUGCUUCAGGCUGCGGCCCUGACGGCUGCUCGCCCCCGUCGCGUCGCGGGCGUGCGCGUCCACGCGUGAGCGUGUGCGCUCCAGCAGGAAAAACAAGAGAAAGAGGUGGAGUGCAGAGCCCAGGAGGUUCCUUUUCUUGCUAAACCUCAAGAUACCGGGUCCUCCAGCGGUGGGAAGCCCCGCCUCCCAGCGCAUCCCUUCCACCUGGGGGCGGCCCUGACUAGGAAGACCCUCCAUUUGGAACUCUGGGCACUUCUCCUGGACUCAUCCUCCCGACUCCGCAGUGCACCCUGGGUCUUCCCCACCACACACUCCCAGGAAUCAGACACAUGGUCAACAUUUGAGAGUUUCUCAGGCCUGGAAACGGAUGUAUUGCUUGGAUUUUUCCAGAGGAAGCUACAAUAUCACAGGGAAAUAAACACUGAUGUCUACAAAACAUGACUGUUCAGAC